GACGAACGCUGGCGGCGUGCUUAACACAUGCAAGUCGAACGGAAAGGCCCUGCUUUUGUGGGGUGCUCGAGUGGCGAACGGGUGAGUAACACGUGAGUAACCUGCCCUUGACUUUGGGAUAACUUCAGGGAACUGGGGCGAAUACCGGAUAGGAGCUCCUGCUGCAUGUGGGGGGUUGGAAAGUUUCGGCGGUUGGGGAUGGACUCGCGGCUUAUCCGCUUGUUGGUGGGGUAGUUGCUUACCAAGGUUUUGACGGGUAGCCGGCCUGGGAGGGUGAACGGCCACAUUGGGACUGAGAGACGGCCCAGACGCCUACGGGAGGCAGCAGUGGGGAAUAUUGCACAAUGGGCGGAAGCCUGAUGCAGCAACGCCGCGUGCGGGAUGACGGCCUUCGGGUUGUAAACCGCUUUCGCCUGUGACGAAGCGUGAGUGACGGUAAUGGGUAAAGAAGCACCGGCUAACUACGUG
rnacentral:rRNA from 1 species